GACGAACGCUGGCGGCGUGCUUAACACAUGCCAGUCGAACGGAAAGACCCUGCUAUUGUGGGGUGCUCGAGUGGCGAUCGGGUGAGUAACACGUGAGUAACCUGCCCUUGACUUUGGUAUAACUUCAGGAAACUGGGGCUAAUACCGGAUAGGAGCUCCUGCUGCAUGGUGGGCGUUGGAACGUUUCGGCGGUUGGGGAUGGACUCGCGGCUUAUCAGCUUGUUGGUGGGGUAGUGGCUUACCAAGGCUGUGACGGGUAGCCGGCCUGAGAGGGUGAUCGGUCACAUGGGUACUAAGAAAAGCCUCAGUAUCGAAAGGGGGGCAACAGUGGAGAGAAGUAGACGAGGGGAGGAAGAGGGAUGUAUCAGCGUCGCGUGCGCGAGGACUGGCUGCUGUGGGUAAACCGCCUACGCUUGAUACGACGCGAGAUUGACGGUAACGGGUAAAUAAGCACCGGCUAACUACGUG
rnacentral:rRNA from 1 species